rnacentral:rRNA from 1 species
AGAGUUUGAUCCUGGCUCAGAAUGAACGCUGGCGGCAGGCCUAACACAUGCAAGUCGAACGGGCCCUUCGGGGCUAGUGGCGGACGGGUGAGUAACGCGUGGGAACGUGCCCUUUGGUUCGGAAUAGCCCCGGGAAACUGGGAGUAAUACCGGAUAAGCCCUUCGGGGGAAAGAUUUAUCGCCAAAGGAUCGGCCCGCGUUGGAUUAGGUAGUUGGUGGGGUAACGGCCUACCAAGCCGACGAUCCAUAGCUGGUUUGAGAGGAUGAUCAGCCACACUGGGACUGAGACACGGCCCAGACUCCUACGGGAGGCAGCAGUGGGGAAUCUUAGACAAUGGGGGAAACCCUGAUCUAGCCAUGCCGCGUGAUCGAUGAAGGCCUUAGGGUUGUAAAGAUCUUUCAGUGGGGAAGAUAAUGACGGUACCCACAGAAGAAGCCCCGGCUAACUCCGUGCCAGCAGCCGCGGUAAUACGGAGGGGGCUAGCGUUAUUCGGAAUUACUGGGCGUAAAGCGCACGUAGGCGGAUUGGAAAGUCAGAGGUGAAAUCCCAGGGCUCAACCCUGGAACUGCCUUUGAAACUCCCGGUCUUGAGGUCGUGAGAGGUGAGUGGAAUUCCGAGUG